rnacentral:rRNA from 1 species
AGAGUUUGAUCCUGGCUCAGGAUGAACGCUGGCGGCGUGCCUAAUACAUGCAAGUCGAACGAAGAGAGAAUGAAGCUUGCUUCAUUUAAUCUUAGUGGCGAACGGGUGAGUAAUACAUAAGCAACCUACCUAUAGGACUGGGAUAACAGUUGGAAACGACUGCUAAUACCGGAUAGGUUAACCGAAGGCAUCUUUGGUUAAUUAAAGGUUAGAAACACCGAUAGAUGGGCUUAUGGCGUAUUAGCUAGUUGGAGAGGUAACGGCUCACCAAGGCGAUGAUACGUAGCCGACCUGAGAGGGUGACCGGCCACAUUGGGACUGAGACACGGCCCAAACUCCUACGGGAGGCAGCAGUAGGGAAUUUUCGGCAAUGGGCGAAAGCCUGACCGAGCAACGCCGCGUGAGUGAAGACGGCCUUAGGGUUGUAAAGCUCUGUUGUAAAGGAAGAACAGUUAGAAUAGAAUUUUAGCAUGACGGUACUUUACCAGAAAGCCACGGCUAACUACGUGCCAGCAGCCGCGGUAAUACGUAGGUGGCGAGCGUUAUCCGGAAUUAUUGGGCGUAAAGGGAGCGCAGGCGGUUGAUUAAGUUUUAGGUUAAAGCGUGGGGCUUAACCCCAUAAAGCCUAAGAAACUGGUCGACUAGAGUGCAGAAGAGGGUAGUGGAAUUCCAUGUGUAGCGGUAAAAUGCGUAGAUAUAUGGAGGAACACCAGUGGCGAAGGCGGCUACCUGGUCUGUAACUGACGCUGAGGCUCGAAAGCGUGGGGAGCAAAUAGGAUUAGAUACCCUAGUAGUCCACGCC